rnacentral:rRNA from 1 species
AACGAACGCUGGCGGCAUGCCUAACACAUGCCAGUCGAACGAGACCUUCGGGUCUAGUGGCGCACGGGUGCGUAACGCGUGGGAACCUGCCCUUAGGUUCGGAAUAACUCCCCGGAAGGGGUGCUAAUAACGGAUGAUUUCUUCGGCCCAAAGAUUUCUCGCCUUUGGGUGGGCCCGCGUUGGCUUAGCUAGUUGGUAGGGUAAAAGCCUACCAAGGCGACAAUCCAUAGCUGGUCUGAGAGGAUGAUCAGCCACACUGGGACUGAGACACGGCCCAGACUCCUACGGGAGGCAGCAGUGGGGAAUAUUGGACAAUGGGCGAAAGCCUGAUCCAGCUAUGCCGCGUGAGUGAUGAAGGCCUUAGGGUUGUAAAGCUCUUUUACCCGGGAUGAUAAUGACAGUACCGGGAGAAUAAGCUCCGGCUAACUCCGUG